ACUCCUACGGGAGGCAGCAGUGGGGAAUAUUGCACAAUGGGCGCAAGCCUGAUGCAGCCAUGCCGCGUGUGUGAAGAAGGCCUUCGGGUUGUAAAGCACUUUCAGCGGGGAGGAAGGCGAUAAGGUUAAUAACCUUGUGAUUGACGUUACCCGCAGAAGAAGCACCGGCUAACUCCGUGCCAGCAGCCGCGGUAAUACGGAGGGUGCAAGCGUUAUCCGGAUUUACUGGGUGUAAAGGGAGCGUAGACGGCACAGCAAGUCUGAAGUGAAUCCCCGGGCUCAACCCGGGAACUGCUUUGGAAACUGUUGGCUAGAGUGCUGAGAGGCAAGCGGAAUUCCUAGUGUAGCGGUGAAAUGCGUAGAUAUUAGGAGGAACACCAGUGGCGAAGGCGGCUGCUGGACAGUAACUGACGUUGAGGC
rnacentral:rRNA from 1 species